GACGAACGCUGGCGGCGUGCUUAACACAUGCAAGUCGAACGGAAAGGCCCUGCUUUUGUGGGGUGCUCGAGUGGCCAACGGGUGAGUAACACGUGAGUAACCUGCCCUUGACUUUGGGAUAACUUCAGGAAACUGGGGCUAAUACCGGAUAGGAGCUCCUGCUGCAUGGUGGGGGUUGGAAAGUUUCGGCGGUUGGGGAUGGACUCGCGGCUUAUCAGCUUGUUGGUGGGGUAGUGGCUUACCAAGGCUUUGACGGGUAGCCGGCCUGAGAGGGUGACCGGCCACAUUGGGACUGAGAUACGGCCCAGACUCCUACGGGAGGCAGCAGUGGGGAAUAUUGCACAAUGGGCGGAAGCCUGAUGCAGCAACGCCGCGUGCGGGAUGACGGCCUUCGGGUUGUAAACCGCUUUCGCCUGUGACGAAGCGUGAGUGACGGUAAUGGGGAAAGAAGCACCGGCUAACUACGU
rnacentral:rRNA from 1 species